UACGUAGGGUGCGAGCGUUAAUCGGAAUUACUGGGCGUAAAGCGUGCGCAGGCGGUUCGUUAAGUCAGAUGUGAAAGCCCCGGGCUCAACCUGGGAACUGCAUUUGAAACUGGCGGGCUUGAGUAUGGCAGAGGGGGGUGGGAAUUCCGCGUGUAGCAGUGAAAUGCGUAGAGAUGCGGAGGAACACCGAUGGCGAAGGCAGCCCCCUGGGCCAAUACUGACGCUCAGGCACGAAAGCGUGGGGAGCGAACCGG
rnacentral:rRNA from 1 species